rnacentral:rRNA from 1 species
UACAGAGGUCUCAAGCGUUGUUCGGAUUCAUUGGGCGUAAAGGGUGCGUAGGCGGCUCGGUAAGUCGGGUGUGAAAUCUCGGAGCUUAACUCCGAAACUGCAUUCGAUACUGCCGUGCUUGAGGACUGGAGAGGAGACUGGAAUUUACGGUGUAGCGGUGAAAUGCGUAGAUAUCGAGAGGAACACCUGCGGCGAAGGCGGGUUGCUGGGCCGACACUGACGCUGAUGCGCGAAAGCCAGGGGAGCGAACGGG